ACCUUGCUGGUUCAGUUGGUGGAGUAUGAGACUCUUGAUCUCGGGGUUGUGAGUUCGAGCCUCGUGUUCGGUG
rnacentral:tRNA from 1 species